rnacentral:rRNA from 1 species
UGGGGAAUUUUGGACAAUGGGCGAAAGCCUGAUCCAGCAAUGCCGCGUGUGUGAAGAAGGCCUUCGGGUUGUAAAGCACUUUUGUCCGGAAAGAAAUCCUUGGCUCUAAUACAGUCGGGGGAUGACGGUACCGGAAGAAUAAGCACCGGCUAACUACGUGCCAGCAGCCGCGGUAAUACGUAGGGUGCAAGCGUUAAUCGGAAUUACUGGGCGUAAAGCGUGCGCAGGCGGUUUGCUAAGACCGAUGUGAAAUCCCCGGGCUCAACCUGGGAACUGCAUUGGUGACUGGCAGGCUAGAGUAUGGCAGAGGGGGUAGAAUUCCACGUGUAGCAGUGAAAUGCGUAGAGAUGUGGAGGAAUACCGAUGGCGAAGGCAGCCCCCUGGGCCAAUACUGACGCUCAUGCACGAAAGCGUGGGGAGCAAACAGGAUUAGAUACCCUGGUAGUCCACGCCCUAAACGAUGUCAACUAGUUGUUGGGGAUUCAUUUCCUUAGUAACGUAGCUAACGCGUGAAGUUGACCGCCUGGGGAGUACGGUCGCAAAGAUUAAAACUCAAAGGAAUUGACGGGGUCAUAGCUGUUCCU